CCCCUGUCCCGGCUAUGGAGGUGCUCAAGGCCAGCUUCCCUCUCCGGGCUGUCAGGCAGGUCACCUCGCGGAGGAGUCCAGUGCCCUGUCGCUCCCUGGCCCACAAAGGGAGCAAUUUCGGGGACACAGCGGCUUCUGCUGGGAAGCUCUGGGCCAGAGCUCCUUCAGCGCUUCUGCUGACACAGAGCAGGUGGAAUCCAAGCACCAGCGUGCCCUAUGUGCUGGUUUAUAUUGUGAACAGAAGACCUGGACAGCAGUGGAAGUUCCACUGGUGCUGAAACAAUGUGCACGCACAGCAAGAGCAGAUGCAGCACGGAUCUCCUCGGUGCUGGUCACUGAGCUGAGCACAGCAGGAAAAACCUCUGACAUAAUCCUAAACUGAUUAAAACAUAUUUACUCUCUACAAUGCUGAUGUGGUAAAAGAUGAAGAAUAUUGGUUCAAAUUAUAUGGCUGGAGACCUAGGAAAUUCACAUGGGAUUUUGACAGGAAGGAUAUUGUCAGUAAAAUAGAUGAUGACAAAAAAUGCCUGACCCUCUAUCCUAUAUAAUUAUUUUUUAUUUUUUUUUAAUGAGUGGCCAAACUUGGAUUGAAACAAAUUGUGGGUGAGGAAAUCAUCCAGUAGCAGCAAAGAGGGACAUGGUUCAGUCCCAGUUCUGUUGAGACACAACCCUAACACUUUGAGAACUUAAUGUUCUGAUGCAAAGGGUUAAGCACAUUUCCUGUGAGCCUUUGGUAGGAGGACACAGGGGUAGCUACCUAUGUGUGUGUGGGAAUUUUUUCCUUCUGUGGAUGGCUGCCCUACAGCCAGCUCUGAGCCCACCUGCCGAGGCAUGUUUGGGGAGGAGCUCAAGCACCAACCAUCGGACUCACAGCAUUCUCAGCCCCAUCUGCAGGAGCCCACACUGUCUGACAUGCUCUUCCUAGCACCUGGAACUAUCCCUCACUUGCUUUGCUUCUCAAGUAGACCAUUAAGACAGUUUAGACAUGUCCCAAACAAUGCAAUUCCCUGGGGACUGACUUUACAAAAGAAAAAAGUGGUACAAGAAACAUGCCCAGUGUAUAAUGGCCAGCUCCAGAAGGCCUUUGUUUGACCUUGGACCUCAGAGUAUUUAGAUAAAGAGGGAAAUUCAAUGCUGAAGAAGCUGUCCUGCAGAUCCAUUCAUUGGGAAGGAAGUGGAACAGAAAGGUCUUCACCAUUAACAGAGCCUGCAAAGAGAGGAGCACAGUAUCUCUUGGAUCCUAUUCCUGUCUGAGAUGCAAACCACUUUAAAUGUGACAGUGUGAAAAAGGUGGGGAUUUGGGAAAAAUCUCCUCAUUCUCAUCCCAGAACAGACAGCAGAACUGGAGCGGACGAGGAACCACAUUUCUGUGGGUGGAGCACAGUCAUGUUGCCUUUACUCUGGGGAGUCUCCAGGGCAGUGUGAACCAGCCUAAGGCACUUCUGAGCACACUGCUUGGAGCAGGGCAGGGAUGCACAGCUCUGUAAGGGGGCACAGAAGAUGGUGAGGUGCUGGGGUCUAGCCCCUUGAUCAGGAGUGGUCAUCUUGCAUCCUGUGGGCAAUCCCUUCCACUUUUCAGCCUUCAGCCUGUUCCUGAUCCCAGUGGCAUGCCUGCCAGGUGGGCCCCAGAUUUCAAAUAGCCAUCUGUUCUGUGUCUCGCUUUGCACACCGCCAAAAUGAAAAUUGUGGUUCAACUGGAUAUCUACUGCAAAUUACCUGGUACAGAUAAGAUAUUUAUUGUUAGUGUUACUGCCGUGGCAAAUGCAGCAUCUAAAUCGAAACGUAUUUAUUCCAGAUUUAUUGUACUAAGGAUGUAGAAGGGUUCACAGGAAGCAAGUUUGGUAGAAAUAACAGAGGACUUGAUGUUAGUGUUAUUUAAUGUAUUACUGUAUUUCGCCUUACAAAACUGUCCAAGAAAAUCCCAUUCUCUGUCAAAGCACUGCAACUAAAAUUUCCAGUCUAAAUAUAGUUGGGGGUUGCCCAGUUGAAAUGCUGCUGGCCAACAUUUUAAGGCCUGAGCCAUCAAGGUCUUAUGAAUUGAGGUUGCUUAUAUAGAUUGGUUUUCUUUCAAGGCCAUUGCAGAAGUAUCUCCCCAAUUCAGUAAUUUUACAUGUGAGCAAGAAUCAAUUUUUAAUCUCUACCCCAGGUAUGAAAUUUGCUGAUCAGAAAUUGAUCUAUUUACAGGUCACUGAAUUUGAUCAACAGCUGGUCUUUAAGAGAGGGAUCAAAACAUGCACAAUACAGUAAUCAAGUCCAGAUGUUGUCUAGAAGACAAGCUCCAGUUCUAGCAGGAAUUAAUUAAGCAAAGUCUUACAAGCUGUGUCAUAAGGAAACCAGAUGAAAACAACAGCCCCUGGGUUUUUUUUUUAUUUAAAAAAUGGAACAGACAUUUUGAAACAACUGACCACAUUUUGGCUACGAAUAGUUCAGUGAAAUAAAACUUGCUUUUGGGUGCUCCAGUUAAUGAUUUACUGGUACAACCUGCUGGCAGUAAGCCCAGUUUAGACAGUGUUGGAAAAAUGCCAAACAUUAACACUGCAUUCACAGUAGAUUCUCUGAAACAAACUGUCACUGGGUGUAGAGAAGGCUGAGCCAGGAAAUGCAUUGUUUUGGGAUCCACAGGAUCCCAGCUCUCACCCCAGAGCAGAGUAAAUUUUUUUCUAGAGUAGUUGUCCUUAUAUGUUAUUGUCCUCAGGGCAUUUACUCUGCCACUGCACUUCUUUCAACAGGUCAAGUAUAUUAAUAAAAGUAAAAUUAAAAGUCUAGGUGGGAAAAAUGUUAUGCAAAGGUUCUGCCAGGGAAAAAAGAACUGCUUGGGAGCCUUACCCUUUGCUUUUAGAUGUGCCAGCCUGGGAAAUCCAUAAUUCCAUGGGAAAUAUGGUCAGUGUAGGUGGCCACAGUCAUUUGAUGUAAAUGUAUCACAGCAGGCAUAGCCCAUAAAUGGGAUCUCCUGUAGCCCAGACAUGAGAUAGAGCUCAGAUUCGUGAAUUGUGUUGAAUAUAUUUGUCUUUUAAUGUUGCUGUUUGGGAAGAGUGAAAGAUUAUCUAGUACAUCUGCAUUUAAUCUAUUUACCGUGUAUGUUUUUGUUGGUGUUCCUCAAGAAUACUGCACCUUUUCUUAAACAGAAACUGAUCAUAUUUCUAAUUUUCUGAUUGCAAAUUGCAUGCAUGGGUUAUAAGGAAGAAUGAAACCACAGACAAAGAAGAGCAGAAUCUUGACUUCAGCCAAACUUUAUACUCCUUGUGGAGAAUUGUUACAUUUUUGACAGAAAGUAAUAUGAAGUGAAUUUGUCAUCAGAUAUAAAGCAUGCAGAUAGGAAAGUCAGCAGGGGAGGAUUUCUUUUCCUUCAUAUCAACUGAGGAAGAGUUUCAACUUACUAAAUGCAUUUUAAGGUGUGAUGGGAAAAUCUGAGUGAAAAAACUUGUAGGAGUUUAUCAAAAAACAAACAGUCCAAUGUUAACUUUCACUCUGUGUAGAAAGCAUACAUUUCCCUUUCCCAGUAUUUGUAUAAUUAUGAGUGACUCAUUCAAGCCCUGAUCUUACAGACCAAGAUUAAAUCCCAAAAGAGGGCUUAAUCCAUGUCAAUAAUUAAAUCCACAUUUCUGUCUCAUGGCUGAAUGAGACCCACUUGCAGGGAAGCUUCAACCCCACCACCAAACCAACAAAUCGUUCUUCAGCCUGAGCCACCAAGUUACAGAGCAGUUUCAAAGCAACUUGGUUCAGCUUCCCUGAUGCUUCUGGGACUGAACAAAUAAAACCACAGAUGCAAACUCUGAUAUCUUUGAAUGCUUCAAAGCAGGGAAGGGAAAGACUACAGAAUAAAUGGAUCUGAUAAUUUUC